GAUCACUUCUACGACUAUGUUCAAGGCCUACUUGAUGGACUUGAGGCAGGCAUUGAUUCACGUGAUAUUGUUAACAUUCAAAAUUGGCAAAGCUGCUUAUGGAAUGUUGAAAGACAAGGCUGAGAAUACAAAGAAGUGGGAAGGAAGAAAGAUCCUCUUCGUACACACAGGUGGGUUACUUGGGUUGUUUGACAAGGUAGAGCAGAUGGCUCCAUCGUUGGGAAAUUGGCUUCGGAUGGAUGUCCAAGAAUCUGUUCACCGGAGCGAUGGUAUUGGGAAAAUGUUCUAGUGUCGAAAUAAAGCAAAGAAAAGAGUCCAGUGCUCUAUUAAUAGAGAUGAGAUCAAAAUCCUCAAUCAUUGUAUACUGUACUGAAUGAUGCAUAAGAAACGAUCUCAUAUCAAAUAAGAUAAUUACAGGAGGUUUGUAUUUCGUUGUGAUUUAAUGGUGUAUGGUUUGUGAAAAUGGAUGUAUAAUUGUUGUUUCUGUUC